rnacentral:lncRNA from 1 species
AGAAGGGAAGAGCAUAUGGGAAGUAGGUAGGUGUGAGGAGUAAGACAUAUAGUGAAGACAAGACAGUUCUGCCUGAAGCAAAGGGACAUCUCUGAAAGCAGAGAUGAGAGAGGACAGAGAGAAGAAUACGGCCAUCUAAAGGAGAAUGUGGAGAGGCAAAAUGGUGGUGGGAAAAAUUAAGUCCAGAAAUCAAUGAACAAGAUUUUCAAAUGAUGACUACUAAUUGUGGGUCUUCCCCUUGCAAGUAAACCUUGCCAACACUUCUGAACACUGUGGACGCCACUGCAUUCUUAAAUCCUUCACAGAGACCCGAAAAGAGCUCAGUCAGACAAAAAAUUCAAAGAUGAAGGAACACCGCAGAGAGUUCUUAAAAUGAAGCUGCCUUGUACCUUCCGUACUUGCUCUUCAGUUAUGGUCCCUGUACCAAAGCUUGUUUCUGUUCUUUCUUAUCCCACACCUCCACAACACCUCCUCAGAGCCCCACCUUGCAUCCAGCACAGGACAGGGCCAUGCCAGCUCCCUGUGUCUCCCUGGGAAAAUGCCUGGAUCAUUUUCUUAAUGGACUGCCUCUAGGGCACAAAAAUGAAAAGCUGCUUCUGAGCCUAGCAAUUUCUGCUGAGCAUGCCGACUGAAAGCCACUGUGAUGGGGAGCAGUCACAGCCCGGGAGCUAGACUCAGCCCCUCAACCAGCUCUAGGAUGAGGACAACUCACAGGGACACGGAGGUGAGCUGCACCAUCACCAAGGACCCAGAAAAGGAAAACUUCGGUAACAGCCACUUUCCAAGCCAGCCAUCCCCAUCGCCUCAAAUGCUAAUCAC